GCUGGUGUAGCUCAAGCGGUAGAGCCUCCGCCUUUUAAGCGGACUAUUGUGGGUUCGACUCCCACCGCCGGCA
rnacentral:tRNA from 1 species